rnacentral:snoRNA from 1 species
CGAGCCAAGAAGAUGAAACCAUUUGCGGAUGUAAAUGAGCUUCAGCUCGCACGUCCGAGAGCGCAUAAAAUCAUGUGGAUUACUCCGUUGCCUUUCUGACCUCUUUGUUU